UGCCAGCCGCCGCGGUAAUACGGAGGGUGCAAGCGUUGUUCGGAAUUAUUGGGCGUAAAGCGCGUGUAGGCGGUUCGUUAAGUCUGAUGUGAAAGCCCGGGGCUCAACCCCGGAAGUGCAUUGGAAACUGGCGAACUUGAGUACGGGAGAGGAAAGUGGAAUUCCGAGUGUAGGGGUGAAAUUCGUAGAUAUUCGGAGGAACACCAGUGGCGAAGGCGGCUCACUGGCUCGAUACUGACGGUGAGGUGCGAAAGCGUGGCGAGCAAUCAGGAUUAGAUA
rnacentral:rRNA from 1 species